rnacentral:snRNA from 1 species
AUCGCUUCUCGGCCUUUUGGCUAAGAUUAGGUGUAGUAUCU